rnacentral:lncRNA from 1 species
AUUAGAGUAUCGGUAUUGAAACACCCCUAACAUUUAACGUAUCAAUACCCCAAAUUUCAUACAAGUACUCAAUACAAAAUCUAAUUUUUACAGUUUCAAAUUUUAAGAAACUUCUUAGUGCCAGUACUUCAACUUUUAGUUCCCUUAUUUAACAUCAAGAAAUCCCAAUUCAUCGACUUUUCACCAUAAUAUUAAUUCGGAACACAACUUUACAUAAUUCAAUAUUUAUUUUAUAUCUUUUCUUCCAAACCUUCUGGGAGUCGGUUA